rnacentral:misc_RNA from 1 species
GAUAUGUUACUCUAGUGCCUUUGCUUACGAAUGUACCAUCAGGUAAUAUAUCAUCUUCUUGCGCAAACUUUGAAUCAAAUUGCACAGGUGGGUAGAGUCUUAAACUCUCAUAUAUUGCAGCAUUUAGAUAAUGCAUGUCUCGCAGUUUUUCAUAGCUGGUGAGCUGCCCAUGAGUCGGCCCCAUGACUCGUUCUGACUCUUCUCGAAUUGCUGAUUCAACUUCUGGGUGUUGAGACAAGAGCCAGAAGAAACUGGUUAAACCUGAGGCAACAGUGUCACGACCUGCCAAGAGAAAGCUGAUGACAAUAUCUCGAAGAUACUUAUCAUCAUUAAUGGAACCCAUGAAUCUUGAUAAAAGGUCUUUGUUAUCGGUGAAGCCUUCUCUUCUCCGGUGAUUGAUCAACGCUUGGGCGAGUUCAUCCACCAUCUUUAUAGCCUCUGAGAGUUUCUUUUCUGAGCCUAAAUUUAGUAACCUUUUCAUCUUCCAAACCAUUGGUGAUGGUGCUAGAGCUCUCUCUGCAGAUAAUUUUGAUGCAGUAUCAAAAGCAAGAGCGAAUUUACAAAUGGGCAAAGAUAACUUGAGGCAUCCAGGGUCUAACCCAAAGGAAAAUUUGCAAAUGUUAUCAAAAGAAAAUCUUCUAAACACAUCUUGCAAAUCUAAAGCCUCUUCUUUAUCAGCCAUUGAUGACAAAAGAGGAAUCAACCUACCUCGGAUCUCACUCAUAAUGAGCUCAAAAGCAUACAUCCUUAUUGACACACUACCAAGCUCUAAACUCGCCAUUUUCCUUUGGAACCUCCAAGAAUCACCAUCAACAUUGAAAAUACCUCCACCCAAAAGAUCACCCAAGAGAGCAGAGAAGGGUUUCCCUUUUGGGUAGUUGUCGAAAUUGGUCUUGAGAAUGUAUUCAACGUUUUCUGGAUUGGAAGUGAUGAUAUUGCCCAGAACAUGAAGGUGAAUUGUACCGGUGGGUGAUUUUCUAAGAAGGUGAGUAUACCAAUCACAAAGAUUAGCAAAAUCUUUAGUCCAACUACCAGUGAGAUAGCUCUUGCAUACCUCACAGUUACACCAAGGCUUCAGCCUCAACACAAAGAUAAGCACAGAGAAGAAAGAAAACAAUAAGGUAAACCCAAAGAAGAGCAAAGAAAAAAACUGGAAAUGGACUCCAACCAUAGGGAAGAAGAAGCACCCAACUCCAUUGAUAAUGAAGAGAAAAGGUUAAAGAAAACUCAAGAAAUU